AAUAUUGGUCAAUGGAGGCAACUCUGAACCAGCCACGUCGCGUGAAGGAUGACGGCCCUACGUGUUGUAAACUUCUUUUAUACAGGAAUAAAGUGAGUCACGUGUGACUUUUUGCAUGCACUGUAUGAAUAAGGAUCGGCUAACUCCGUGCCAGCAGCAGCGGUAAUACGGAGGAUCCAAGCGUUAUCCGGAUUUAUUGGGUUUAAAGGGUGCGCAGGCGGAAGAUUAAGUCGGCGGUGAAAAUUUGCAGCUCAACUGUAAAAGUGGCAUCGAUUCUUGUUUUCUUGAGUGUUGAUGAAGUAGGCGGGAUUUGUGGUGUAGCGGUGAAAUGCAUAGAUAUCACGAGGAACUCCGGUUGCGCAGGGAGCUUACUAGGCCAUAACUGACGGUUAGGCACGAAGGCGUGGGGAUCAAACAGG
rnacentral:rRNA from 1 species